AACGAACGCUGGCGGCAGGCUUAACACAUGCAAGUCGAGCGCCCCGCAAGGGGAGCGGCAGACGGGUGAGUAACGCGUGGGAACGUACCCUUUUCUACGGAAUAACGCAUGGAAACGUGUGCUAAUACCGUAUGUGCCCUUCGGGGGAAAGAUUUAUCGGAAAAGGAUCGGCCCGCGUUGGAUUAGCUAGUUGGUGGGGUAAAGGCCUACCAAGGCGACGAUCCAUAGCUGGUCUGAGAGGAUGAUCAGCCACAUUGGGACUGAGACACGGCCCAAACUCCUACGGGAGGCAGCAGUGGGGAAUAUUGGACAAUGGGCGCAAGCCUGAUCCAGCCAUGCCGCGUGAGUGAUGAAGGCCCUAGGGUUGUAAAGCUCUUUCACCGGUGAAGAUAAUGACGGUAACCGGAGAAGAAGCCCCGGCUAACUUCGUGCCAGCCGCCGCCGUAACAC
rnacentral:rRNA from 1 species